rnacentral:rRNA from 1 species
UGCUUACAAAUGGCAAGUCGAACGAUGAUGCCCAGCUUGCUGGGUGGAUUAGUGGCGAACGGGUGAGUAACACGUGAGUAACCUGCCCUUGACUUCGGGAUAACUCCGGGAAACCGGGGCUAAUACCGGAUAUGAGCCGUCCUCGCAUGGGGGUGGUUGGAAAGUUUUUCGGUCAGGGAUGGGCUCGCGGCCUAUCAGCUUGUUGGUGGGGUGAUGGCCUACCAAGGCGACGACGGGUAGCCGGCCUGAGAGGGCGACCGGCCACACUGGGACUGAGACACGGCCCAGACUCCUACGGGAGGCAGCAGUGGGGAAUAUUGCACAAUGGGCGAAAGCCUGAUGCAGCGACGCCGCGUGAGGGAUGAAGGCCUUCGGGUUGUAAACCUCUUUCAGCAGGGAAGAAGCGCAAGUGACGGUACCUGCAGAAGAAGCGCCGGCUAACUACGUGCCAGCAGCCGCGGUAAUACGUAGGGCGCAAGCGUUGUCCGGAAUUAUUGGGCGUAAAGAGCUCGUAGGCGGUUUGUCGCGUCUGGUGUGAAAACUCGAGGCUCAACCUCGAGCUUGCAUCGGGUACGGGCAGACUAGAGUGCGGUAGGGGAGACUGGAAUUCCUGGUGUAGCGGUGGAAUGCGCAGAUAUCAGGAGGAACACCGAUGGCGAAGGCAGGUCUCUGGGCCGCAACUGACGCUGAGGAGCGAAAGCAUGGGGAGCGAACAGGAUUAGAUACCCUGGUAGUCCAUGCCGUAAACGUUGGGCACUAGGUGUGGGGCUCAUUCCACGAGUUCCGUGCCGCAGCAAACGCAUUAAGUGCCCCGCCUGGGGAGUACGGCCGCAAGGCUAAAACUCAAAGGAAUUGACGGGGGCCCGCACAAGCGGCGGAGCAUGCGGAUUAAUUCGAUGCAACGCGAAGAACCUUACCAAGGCUUGACAUGCACGAGAAGCCACCAGAGAUGGUGGUCUCUUUGGACACUCGUGCACAGGUGGUGCAUGGUUGUCGUCAGCUCGUGUCGUGAGAUGUUGGGUUAAGUCCUGCAACGAGCGCAACCCUCGUCCAUGCUGCCAGCGGUAUGCGGGGACUCAUGGGAGACUGCGGGGUCACUCGGAG